GGAGAGGUGCACCGAAUGGUAAGGUACCGCUCUCGAAAAGCGGCUCCCGUUUAUCGGGAUUGUGGGUUCGAGUCCCACCCUCUCCG
rnacentral:tRNA from 1 species